GACGAACCGUGCGAACGUUGUUCGGAAUCACUGGGCUUAAAGGGCGCGUAGGCGGGCCCACAAGUCCGGGGUGAAAUCUUUCGGCUUAACCGGAAAAGUGCCUUGGAUACUGGGGGCCUUGAGGAGGCAGGGCGGGAGUGAACUUCCGGUGGAGCGGUGAAAUGCGUUGAUAUCGGAAGGAACGCCGGUGGCGAAAGCGAUCCGCUGGACCUCUUCUGACGCUGAGGCGCGAAAGCCAGGGGAGCGAACGGG
rnacentral:rRNA from 1 species